rnacentral:rRNA from 1 species
UACGUAGGGGGCAAGCGUUGUCCGGAUUUAUUGGGCGUAAAGAGCGUGUAGGCGGCUUGGUAGGUCCGCUGUGAAAACUCGAGGCUCAACCUCGAGAUGUCGGCGGAAACCACUUGGCUAGAGUCCGGAAGAGGAGAGUGGAACUGCGAGUGUAGAGGUGAAAUUCGUAGAUAUUCGCAAGAACACCAGUGGCGAAGGCGGCUCACUGGCCCGAUACUGACGCUGAGGCACGAAAGCGUGGGGA